ACAUUUUGCCAUGGCAUAAAGAAGAGGAGAACCCAUUUGAUUUGCUCCUCCUUGACAGCUGCAGUUUCCUCAGGUGGCAAGUGUUUCCCAGCUCUAUCGUGAAGACAUGAAGCUCCUGGUUGCAGAAGAUCAGCGAUGAGAAGGAGCACCAUGAAGCCACUGAGAAAUUCUGUUUAAUCAAAAUAAGAGGGCUCUUCUUGUCUUCUUGAUGAGUAAUGUCUCCAUAGCAUUGUCAUCAUCUCCUUUCAGGAUAAAAUAGGAUUUUUUCACUCAGAUAAAGACACACUAAAUUAAAGAGGAAAGAACUGCAGGUCAUCCAAACAAUAGUGCUUCUGUAAGUGCUGAGGAGAACAUCAAGGGACCCAGAGGACCCAACCCAGCCGUGCUCUCUGCCUGUGAAGGACAAUGAGGAGGAAGAAGAAAGGGCCAAAGUUCUUUUAAGACAACUUACUCCCAGAGAAGAAUGGCAGACAGGGAAUUUAGAAGGAAAAAAGUGAAUAUUAGUUAACAAGAGCAGAAAUGGUGGUCAACAA